rnacentral:rRNA from 1 species
AGUAACGCGUGAGUAACCUGCCUUACACAAGGGGAUAGCCUUUGGAAACGAAGAAUAAUACCCUAUAAAACCAUAAAAGCACAUGCUAGAAUGGUCAAAGUGAUAGCGGUGUAAGAUGGACUUGCGUCUGAUUAGCUAGUUGGUGAGAUAGAAGCUCACCAAGGCAACGAUCAGUAGCCGGCUUGAGAGAGUGUACGGCCACAUUGGGACUGAGACACGGCCCAG